CACCUACAUUUCAGGUCUCACCCUCCUGCU
rnacentral:piRNA from 1 species